rnacentral:lncRNA from 1 species
UGGAAUAGAAUAAUAGUAUAUAUGAAAUAUCUUUUGAAUUUAGCCAUAGAAUGAAUUCCAUGACUUCCAGACUUAGCAUUCAUUCUCAUCAUUCAAAAGGCUAACUGUUCCAAAUGCACGAGCUGCACCCCUGUUAGAAUAAGCCUUGUAGUAGUUUUGAUUCUUAUUGUUGAAGAAGCUUUCCUAAUGUCCACCUGGAUUCUCCGCUAACUGUUCCAAAUGCACGAGCUGCACCCCUGUUAGAAUAAGCCUUGUAGUAGUUUUGAUUCUUAUUGUUGAAGAAGCUUUCCUAAUGCCCACCUGGAUUCUCCUCUAACAACCUGCUAUGUUUUCUUUCCAUUUGGCAAUCUUCUACACAAGCAAAAAAUAUAUAUAUUUUCUUUUAUUCUGAUAUGCAUCGAGGAAAAUACCAUAAAUGAGUCUUUUGAAGAGACUCUCUUUUAUUGGAAAAAAAAAACUGAACUGAUCUAACUAGGACUAACCAUUUAGAAAAGUUAGAUAGUAGAUGACUGAAGAGAAGAAAGCUUGCCUGCCAGCCAGGCACAAAAAUCAAGAUGAUUUUUUUUUCUUGAAAAAAAAUCCCAGGAGGUUGAUAAAAUUUCUUGAAUUUGAACUCUGGAAAUAGACUCACCACGAAAUCCACUUCCUCCAUCUGACACUACAGCAUCAUUAUCAAGAAAACUGAAGCUCUUUUUAGUUCCAUUACAAACACCAUCUGAGACUUUUCAAGAUUAAGUUGAAUCUGGCUAUCAACUUUUAUAACAUACUCCAUUUUUCUUUUCUUAUUAUAACUGGAUAUCUUAAGUGGAAAGACAUUGAUAGUUUGAUGAUAAUUGUUCUAUAUAUAAC